GGUUCGAUCAUGGCUCAGAUUGAACGCUGGCGGGAUGCUUUACACAUGCAAGUCGAACGGCAGCACGGACUUCGGUCUGGUGGCGAGUGGCGAACGGGUGAGUAAUGUAUCGGAACGUGCCUAGUAGCGGGGGAUAACUACGCGAAAGCGUAGCUAAUACCGCAUACGCCCUUCGGGGGAAAGCGGGGGACCUUCGGGCCUCGCACUGAGCGGCCGAUAUCGGAUUAGCUAGUUGGUGGGGUAACGGCUCGCAAGGCGACGAUCCGUAGCUGGUUUGAGAGGACGACCAGCCACACUGGGACUGAGACCACGGCCCAGACUCCUACGGGGAGGCAGCAGUGGGGAAUUUUGGACAAUGGGGGAAACCUGAUCCAGCCAUCCCGCGUGUGCGAUGAAGGCCUUCGGGUUGUAAAGCACUUUUGGCAGGAAAGAAACGGCACGGGAUAAUACCCCGUGCAACUGACAGUACCUGCAGAAUAAGCACCGGCUAACUACGUGCCAGCAGCGCAUUAAUACGUAGGGUGCAAGCGUUAAUCGGAAUUACUGGGCGUAAAGCGUGCGCAGGCGGUUCCGGAAAGAAAGAUGUGAAAUCCCAGAGCUUAACUUUGGAACUGCAUUUUUAACUACCGAGCUAGAGUGUGUCAGAGGGAGGUGGAAUUCCGCGUGUAGCAGUGAAAUGCGUAGAUAUGCGGAGGAACACCGAUGGCGAAGGCAGCCUCCUGGGAUAACACUGACGCUCAUGCAAAAAGCGUGGGGAGCAAACAGGAUUAGAUACCCUGGUAGUCCCACGCCCUAAACGAUGUCAACUAGCUGUUGGGGCCUUCGGGCCUUGGUAGCGCAGCUAACGCGUGAAGUUGACCGCCUGGGAAGUACGGUCGCAAGAUUAAAACUCAAAGGAAUUGACGGGGACCCGCACAAGCGGUGGAUGAUGUGGAUUAAUUCGAUGCAACGCGAAAAACCUUACCUACCCUUGACAUGUCUGGAAUCCCGAAGAGAUUUGGGAGUGCUCGCAAAGAGAACCGGAACACAGGUGCUGCAUGGCUGUCGUCAGCUCGUGUCGUGAGAUGUUGGGUUAAGUCCCGCAACGAGCGCAACCCUUAUCAUUAGUUGCUACGAAAGGGCACUCUAAUGGGACGCUGCCGGUGACAAACCGGAGGAAGGUGGGGAUGACGUCAAGUCCUCAUAGCCCUUAUGGGUAGGGCUUCACGUCAUACAAUGGUCGGGACAGAGGGUCGCCAACCCGCGAGGGGGAGCCAAUCCCAGAAACCCGAUCGUAGUCCGGAUCGCAGUCUGCAACUCGACUGCGUGAAGUCAGAAUCGCUAGUAAUCGCGGAUCAGCAUGUCGCGGUGAAUACGUUCCCGGGUCUUGUACACACCGCCCGUCACACCAUGGGAGUGGGUUUUACCAGAAGUAGUUAGCCUAACCGUAAGGAGGGCGAUUACCACGGUAGGAUUCAUGACUGGGGUGAAGUCGUAACU
rnacentral:rRNA from 1 species